rnacentral:tmRNA from 1 species
GGGUCCGUCACGGCUUCGACAGGCUAAGGAAAGCUACUCUGUGAUUCAGGUCGAGAGUGAGUCUCUCUCGCAAAUCAAAGGCCUAAAACAACGUAAAUGCGAACAAUAUCGUAAAAUUUGCUCGUAAGGAAGCCCUAGUUGCUGCCUAAUAACCUCUUAUAGGUCCGAGCGUCUCUGGUGUGACUCGUUAUGACUAGAGACCUAACCCUCAACGGAUGCUCUAACAAGUGUUCUCUGCUGGCUUGUUGGCUAAGACUUAAUCAGAGCAUCCUACGUUCGAUAAUGAACUGAUUCCAGCUUUUGAGGGUAAGAAACAACCUGUAUAUGGGUCAAUACUCAAUUUGGACAGCAGUUCGACUGCUCUGAUCCAAUU